rnacentral:rRNA from 1 species
AGCGAACGCUGGCGGCAGGCCUAACACAUGCAAGUCGAACGAACUCUUCAGAGUUACUGGCGGACGGGUGAGUAACACGUGGGAACGUGCCUUUUGGUUCGGAAUAACUCAUUUAAACUUGUGCUAAUACCGAAUGUGCUCUUCGGGGAAAGCAUUUGUCCCACUUGUGCCGGCCGGGGCUCUUUAGACCUUUUGCGAUGGGAGCGGCCGGUGUAGGAUUAGCUAGUUGGCGGGGUAAAGGGUCACCAAGGCGACGAUCAGUAGCUGGUCUGAGAGGAUGACCAGCCACACUGAGACUGAGAAACGGCGCAGAAUACUACGGGAGGGAGGAGUGGGGAAUCUUGCGAAAUGGGGGAAAGGCUGACGGAGCCAUGCCGCGUGAAUGAUGAAGGUCUUAGGAUUGUAAAAUUCUUUCACCGGGGACGAUAAUGACGGUACCCGGAGAAGAAGCCCCGGCUAACUUCGUG